rnacentral:sRNA from 1 species
GCGGCCGCGGAGGAGCUGCUGGCCCGGGCGGGCCGCGAUGGCAGCUUCCUGGUCCGAGACAGCGAGAGCGUGGCGGGGGCCUUCGCGCUCUGCGUCCUGUAUCAGAAGCAUGUGCACACGUAUCGCAUUCUGCCUGAUGGAGAAGAUUUCUUGGCUGUGCAGACCUCGCAGGGUGUGCCUGUGCGCCGCUUCCAGACCCUGGGUGAGCUCAUCGGCCUGUAUGCCCAGCCCAACCAGGGCCUUGUAUGCGCCCUGCUUCUUCCUGUAGAGGGGGAGCGAGAGCCAGACCUGCUGGAUGACCGGGAUGCCUCAGGUACUUCCCAGUGUGCAGGUCCCCUCCCUGCCCCUGUCCCGUGGCUCUACCUGCCUCUUCCCAUCCCCCCUUCUCAACCCCACCUCUCCUGUACCCCUUUCCCUUGGCCAUGAUGCUGGGGCCCUUUAUCCCUCUUUCCAUGGAAGUCACUUUACAGCUGCAUCGUGCCUCCUACUCCACUGAGUGUGGGAGGCCCAAACGGCUGCCCACUGACC